rnacentral:rRNA from 1 species
UACGUAGGGUGCAAGCGUUGUCCGGAAUUAUUGGGCGUAAAGAGCUCGUAGGCGGUCUGUCGCGUCGAAUGUGAAAACCCGGGACUCAACUCCGGGCCUGCAUUCGAUACGGGCAGACUAGAGUUCGGUAGGGGAGACUGGAAUUCCUGGUGUAGCGGUGAAAUGCGCAGAUAUCAGGAGGAACACCGGUGGCGAAGGCGGGUCUCUGGACAGUUCCUGACGCUGAGGCACGAAGGCCAGGGGAGCAAACGGG